rnacentral:rRNA from 1 species
NNNUGGAAGAAGGGUUUGAUCCUGGCUCAGGGUGAACGCUGGCGGCGCGCCUAACACAUGCAAGUCGAACGGAGAAAGAGGAGCUUGCUCCUUGAGUAUUAGUGGCGAACGGGUGAGUAGAACGUAGGAACCUGCCUAACGGACUGGGAUAGCUACUGGAAACGGUAGGUAAUACUGGAUAAAAUCGAGAGAUAAAAGCUUAGAAGCGCCGGGAGAGGGGUCUACGACCCAUCAGGUAGUUGGUAGGGUAAGAGCCUACCNAGCCGACGACGGGUAGCCGAUGUGAGAGCAUGAUCGGCCACAAGGGAACUGAGACACGGUUCCUACUCCUACGGGAGGCAGCAGUGGGGAAUUUUGGACAAUGCACGGAAGUGUGAUCCAGCGACGCCGCGUGAAGGAAGAAGUCCUUCGGGAUGUAAACUUCUGAACUUACAGAAUAACAGCAUAAGGGGACUUAUGUAUGAAGGUAAGUAAGGAAAAGCCCCGGCUAACUACGUGCCAGCAGCCGCGGUAAGACGUAGGGGGCGAGCGUUGCCCGGAAUCACUGGGCGUAAAGGGGGCGUAGGCGGUCUCAUAAGUCAGGUGUGAAAUGUCACUGCUCAACGGUGUCAGUGCGCAUGAAACUGUGAGACUUGAGGGUACCAGAGGUAGACAGAAUUACCUGAGUAGGGGUGAAAUCCGUAGAUACAGGUAAGAAUGCCAGUGGGGAAGCCGGUCUACUGGGGUGACCCUGACGCUGAGGCCCGAAAGCUAGGGUAGCAAACCGGAUUAGAUACCCGGGUAGUCCUAGCAGUAAACGAUGCUCACUAGGUGUGGGGCAAGAAAGCUCCGUGCUGAAGCAAACGCGAUAAGUGAGCCGCCUGGGGAGUACGCCCGCAAGGGUGAAACUCAAAGGAAUUGACGGGGGUCCGCACAAGCGGUGGAGCAUGUGGUUUAAUUCGAAGCAAACCGAAGAACCUUACCAGGGCUUGACAUGGAGAUAAGGCAUAAGAAAUUAUGUCAACCUGUAUGUAAAUAUAGGAGUCUCACACAGGUGGUGCACGGCCGUCGUCAGCUCGUGCCGUGAGGUGUUGGGUUAAGUCCCACAACGAGCGCAACCCCUAUUGUUAGUUGCCAUCAUUAAGUUGGGCUACUCUAGCGAGACAGCCGUCGACGAGACGGAGGAAGGAGGGGAUGACGUCAGGUAAGCGUGCCCCUUAUGCUCUGGGCGACACACGUGCUACAAUGGUGAGGGCAAAAGGCAGCGAAGCCGCGAGGUAGAGCGAAUCCUAUAAACCUCAUCGUAAUUCGGAUUGCAGGCUGAAACCCGCCUGCAUGAAACCGGAAUCGCUAGUAAUCGCAGGUCAGCCAAACUGCGGUGAAUACGUUCCCGGGCCUUGUACACACCGCCCGUCACGCCACCCGAGUUGGAGACACCUGAAAAGGGAAGAAGUAACCGAAANGGGCUAAUCUCUUCAGGGUGGAGCUAGCGAGGGGGGCGAAGUCGUAACAAGGUAGGUGUACCGGAAGGUGCGCCUGGAUCACCUCCUUUCUAAGGAGAAGGCGAAGGUCUCUAUCUACUAAUGAGAGAGUAAAAGAUGGGGUGGUAGCUCAGUUGGGAGAGCGUCUCUUU